GACGAACGCUGGCGGCGUGCUUAACACAUGCAAGUCGAACGGAAAGGCCCUGCUUUUGUGGGGUGCUCGAGUGGCGAACGGGUGAGUAACACGUGAGUAACCUGCCCUUGACUUUGGGAUAACUUCAGGAAACUGGGGCUAAUACCGGAUAGGAGCUCCUGCUGCAUGGUGGGGGUUGGAAAGUUUCGGCGGUUGGGGAUGGACUCGCGGCUUAUCAGCUUGUUGGUGGGGUAGUGGCUUACCAAGGCUUUGACGGGUAGCCGGCCUGAGAGGGUGACCGGCCACAUUGGGACUGAGAUACGGCCCAGACUCCUACGGGAGGCAGCAGUGGGGAAUAUUGCACAAUGGGCGGAAGCCUGAUGCAGCAACGCCGCGUGCGGGAUGACGGCCUUCGGGUUGUAAACCGCUUUCGCCUGUGACGAAGCGUGAGUGACGGUAAUGGGUAAAGAAGCACCGGCUAACUACGUGCCAGCAGCCGCGGUGAUACGUAGGGUGCGAGCGUUGUCCGGAUUUAUUGGGCGUAAAGGGCUCGUAGGUGGUUGAUCGCGUCGGAAGUGUAAUCUUGGGGCUUAACCCUGAGCGUGCUUUCGAUACGGGUUGACUUGAGGAAGGUAGGGGAGAAUGGAAUUCCUGGUGGAGCGGUGGAAUGCGCAGAUAUCAGGAGGAACACCAGUGGCGAAGGCGGUUCUCUGGGCCUUUCCUGACGCUGAGGAGCAAAAGCGUGGGGAGCGAACAGGCUUAGAUACCCUGGUAGUCCACGCUGUAAACGGUGGGUACUAGGUGUGGGGUCCAUUCCACGGGUUCCGUGCCGUAGCUAACGCUUUAAGUACCCCGCCUGGGGAGUACGGCCGCAAGGCUAAAACUCAAAGGAAUUGACGGGGCCCCGCACAAGCGGCGGAGCAUGCGGAUUAAUUCGAUGCAACGCGUAGAACCUUACCUGGGUUUGACAUGGAUCGGGAGUGCUCAGAGAUGGGUGUGCCUCUUUUGGGGUCGGUUCACAGGUGGUGCAUGCCUGUCGUCAGCUCGUGUCGUGAGAUGUUGGGUUAAGUCCCGCAACGAGCGCAACCCUUGUUCACUGUUGCCAGCACGUUAUGGUGGGGACUCAGUGGAGACCGCCGGGGUCAACUCGGAGGAAGGUGGGGAUGACGUCAAGUCAUCAUGCCCCUUAUGUCCAGGGCUUCACGCAUGCUACAAUGGCUGGUACAGAGAGUGGCGAGCCUGUGAGGGUGAGCGAAUCUCGGAAAGCCGGCCUCAGUUCGGAUUGGGGUCUGCAACUCGACCUCAUGAAGUCGGAGUCGCUAGUAAUCGCAGAUCAGCAACGCUGCGGUGAAUACGUUCCCGGGGCU
rnacentral:rRNA from 1 species